rnacentral:lncRNA from 1 species
GGCACCAGCAAUUCUGGAUGUCUGUAACAGCGACUCUCUGCUUCCAAGUUGGCACCUCAAGGCUGUAUCCUCCAGAAGGGAGGACCCCUAUGUCUUCCCACAGUGAGAUGUGAGAGGGCAAAUGAGCAGAACGUGUCUGAGGCCUCUUAAUUAGGACCUUAAUUCCAUCCACAUGGGGAGGAGCCCUCACAGACUAAUUACCAUUAAAGGCCCCACCUCUUAAUACUUUGUUCCAACACCUGAGUUUGGGAGAGGACCUAUUCAAACCACAGCACAGUGUAAGAACUAUCAAUAUCUCACAGAAAAUUAACAUAAAUCAUUUUGAAUGUUAAAUCUCAUUCCCUAUUGAAAAGAAUAAGGGCUCUGACGGUUUUUGAAAAAUCACAACCUGUUGCACACAUUUCAAACUACAAAAAUUAACAUUAAAAUUCCAUAUUAAGGAUAUAAUUGUGGGAAAGAGGAUGAAAUGUGAUUCAGUAAAUCACAAAGUAUAAUGUGCUGUAAAUAAAAUAAGCCUAAGAACUAGAAGUCUCGAAUCCUACUUCUGACCCCAUCAUUUACGAGAGCAGUAUCCUUGGGCAAGUUAUUCAAAAUAGCUAUAAAAGUUAUAAAUCACAAAUUCAUUGUGAGUGUAAGCUGGAGCAAUGUGUAAGAAAACAUUUGAAAAUCAUUUGGUGAUUUAAAUUGUGUUGAAAUUACUUUGGCUUUGUUACAAAGAGAGGGGACAAGUUCUCAGUCACUUACUACCUUCUCCAAGAACCUCCCCAACUGCAUUCUCCACCCACUCUGCCUUGUAGCAUUGAACUGCUUAAAGUUUCUUUAUGCAUAGUCUCUUCUAUGAGAGAGACCUGUUUGUCUUUUAGACAUCAUCAAAUUCCAAUUAAAUCUGGGGACCUAGCUUCUUUUAUCUGCCUUUUAAACCAAGAAAGAUACAAAUGUGUUUUUAUAAUAUUGCAAUGAGUGCAUGUGGGUUUUGUCAUUUGUUUUGUGGUUUCUGACAGGAGUCCCAGCCAACCAGGGUGAAGGAAAAAGGCUAUAAGGAACAGAUACUGACAGGCAUGGCAGUUGUGGAACCCAGAAGAGCAGGUUUUUCAGUGUUUCUUAUCAGGCAAGGAAUGUUUCUAUAGUAAAGGAGCAAAGGCAAAAUUCAUUCAUAAUUAUAUAACUUUUUUCAGUAAUCAGUCACCCCUUUCACAAAU